UCAUAGGUGACGGGAGUCUUCUCUCCUCUCCUUGUUUUUUUCAACAGAGUUUAGAUUUGGGCUCUACCUCUAGCCACACGGUGCUCUCCUUCCCCCUCAGGAAUGGAGGGCUUCAGAUUUGGAGUCAAGAUUGAAUGGAUUCUAAUCUAUUCAGCUGUUUUAGGAAGACAAACUUUUUUAGCAAAUAGAUUAAAUGCAAGUUCCAGAUGUGGCUCACCUGACCCAGCUUGAGAAUUCCAUUGACUGGCGUCUCUUUGUUCUCAAAUACAGAAAAAAGAUUUAUAUUGCCUGGAUUCUCACCUAUAUCCCUCCCCUACCCUGAGAGCCAUCUCCUGAAACAAAGAAAUUGAAGAAGAA